rnacentral:misc_RNA from 1 species
GAAAUAAAAAUGACAAAUAAAACAUCAUGAGCGGUAUAUUUACGAAUGUGUUAUGGUAUUUAGAAUUCUUCGCGUUUGCCGUUACUUUGACUUUAUUUUUCUGUUUUAUUUUAUAUAUAGCUAAAUUAAAUUUUGUUACAUAUAAUAUGCAGUACGACAUGCAGCAGCAGUAUAUGGCUGAUGGUACAUGGCUGUUACAAAGUUAAAUAUAUGGAUAAGAAAAAUCCUCAACACAGAGUUAUAAUAUCCUGCUAAAUUUUAAACAAGUGUCCGGAAAAGCAAAACGAAUUAUUUUGAAUACCCGCCUUUAGAAUAUUUUAAGCUUUAUCUGUGAUUCGUGUGGAAGAACAAGACGAACAUUGCAUU